CAUUGAGCCUUGAUGUGUAGGAUAGGUGGGAGGCUUUGAAGCGUGGACGCCAGUCUGCGUGGAGCCAACCUUGAAAUACCACCCUUUAAUGUUUGAUGUUCUAACGUUGGCCCCUAAUCGGGGUUGCGGACAGUGUCUGGUGGGUAGUUUGACUGGGGCGGUCUCCUCCCAAAGCGUAACGGAGGAGCACGAAGGUUAGCUAAUCCUGGUCGGACAUCAGGAGGUUAGUGCAAUGGCAUAAGCUAGCUUGACUGCGAGCGUGACGGCGCGAGCAGGUGCGAAAGCAGGUCAUAGUGAUCCGGUGGUUCUGAAUGGAAGGGCCAUCGCUCAACGGAUAAAAGGUACUCCGGGGAUAACAGGCUGAUACCGCCCAAGAGUUCAUAUCGACGGCGGUGUUUGGCACCUCGAUGUCGGCUCAUCACAUCCUGGGGCUGAAGUAGGUCCCAAGGGUAUGGCUGUUCGCCAUUUAAAGUGGUACGCGAGCUGGGUUUAGAACGUCGUGAGACAGUUCGGUCCCUAUCUGCCGUGGGCGCUGGAGAAUUGAGGGGGGCUGCUCCUAGUACGAGAGGACCGGAGUGGACGCAUCACUGGUGUUCGGGUUGUCAUGCCAAUGGCACUGCCCGGUAGCUAAAUGCGGAAGAGAUAAGUGCUGAAAGCAUCUAAGCACGAAACUUGCCCCG
rnacentral:rRNA from 1 species